UUGAUACUGUAGGACUUGAAUUAUUAGGAAGUAACUAGAAUAUGUAGUGUAGCGGUGAAAUGCUUAGAGAUUACAUGGAAUACCAAUUGCGAAGGCAGGUUACUACUAAUGGAUUGACGCUGAUGGACGAAAGCGUGGGUAGCGAACAGGAUUAGAUACCCUGGUAGUCCACGCCGUAAACGAUGGAUACUAGCUGUUGGGCGCAAGUUCAGUGGCUAAGCGAAAGUGAUAAGUAUCCCACCUGGGGAGUACGUUCGCAAGAAUGAAACUCAAAGGAAUUGACGGGGGCCCGCACAAGCGGUGGAGCAUGUGGUUUAAUUCGAUGAUACGCGAGGAACCUUACCAAGGCUUAAAUGUAGAUUGACCGUUUUGGAAACAGAACUUUCGCAAGACAAUUUACAAGGUGCUGCAUGGUUGUCGUCAGCUCGUGCCGUGAGGUGUCAGGUUAAGUCCUAUAACGAGCGCAACCCCUGUUGUUAGUUGCCAGCGAGUCAAGUCGGGAACUCUAACAAGACUGCCAGUGUAAACUG
rnacentral:rRNA from 1 species